GACGAACGCUGGCGGCGUGCUUAACACAUGCAAGUCGAACGGAAAGGCCCUGCGUUUGUGGGGUGCUCGAGUGGCGAACGGGUGAGUAACACGUGAGUAACCUGCCCUUGACUGUGGGAGAACUUCAGGAAACUGGGGCUAAUACCGGAUAGGAUCUCCUGCUGCAUGGUGGGGGUUGGAAAGUUUCGGCGGUUGGGGAUGGACUCGCGGGUUAUCAGCUUGUUGGUGGGGUAGUGGCUUACCAAGGCUUUGACGGGUAGCCUGCCUGAGAGGGUGACCGGCCACAUUGGGACUGAGAUACGGCCCAGACUCCUACGGGAGGCAGCAGUGGGGAAUAUUGCACAAUGGGCGGAAGCCUGAUGCAGCAACGCCGCGUGCGGGAUGACGGCUUUCGGGUUGUAAACCGCUUUCGCCUGUGACGAAGCGUGAGUGACGGUAAUGGGUAAAGAAGCACCGGCUAACUACGUG
rnacentral:rRNA from 1 species